rnacentral:rRNA from 1 species
CGAGCGGCGGACGGGUGAGUAAUGUAUGGGGAACUGCCCGAUGGAGGGGGAUAACUACUGGAAACGGUAGCUAAUACCGCAUAAUGUCUACGGACCAAAGCGGGGGACCUCCGGGCCUCGCGCCAUCAGAUGAACCCAUAUGGGAUUAGCUUGUAGGUAAGGUAACGGCUUACCUAGGCGACGAUCCCUAGCUGGUCUGAGAGGGUGAUCAGCCACACUGGGACUGAGACACGGCCCAG